rnacentral:rRNA from 1 species
CAGGGUACUCGAGUGGCGAACGGGUGAGUAACACGUGGGUGAUCUGCCCUGCACUUCGGGAUAAGCUUGGGAAACUGGGUCUAAUACCGGAUAGGAACCAUCUUUAGUGUGGUGGUUGGAAAGUUUUUUCGGUGUAGGAUGAGCUAGCGGCCUAUCAGCUUGUUGGUGGGGUAAUGGCCUACCAAGGCGGCGACGGGUAGCCGGCCUGAGAGGGUGUACGGCCACAUUGGGACUGAGAUACGGCCCAG